UCUAUGGGUGUCUAUGGGUGUCUAUAGGUGUCUGUAGAUGUCUAUGGGUGUCUAUGGGUGUCUAUGGGUAUCGAUAGGUAUCUAUAGGUGUCUAUAGGUGCCUAUAGGUGUCUAUGGGUGUCUAUA